GGUGAACGUUGGCGGUGCGUCUAAUACAUGCAAGUCGGGCGAGGCUUCGAGCCGAGCGGCAGACGGCUGAGUAACACGUUGGUAACUAACUCAAACGCAGGGAUAACUCCGAGAAAUCGGUGCUAAUACCGGAUGGUGCCGUAAGGGGAAAGGUUUUACGGCUUGAGAGGGGCCUGCGGCCUAUCAGGUAGUUGGUGAGGUAACGGCUAACUAAGCCGAUGACGGGUAACUGGGCGGAGUGGAUGACCAGUCAGGGGGAAACUGAGACACGGUUCCCACGUCUACGGAAGGAAGCAGUAAAGUAUCAUACACAGUGGACGACAGUCUGAUCGAGCGACAGCGCGUGAAGGCGGACGGCCCUUGGGUCGUAAACUGCUUUUUUGGGGGAAAGAUUCUGACUGUACCCGAAGAAUAAGCACCGGCAAAUCACGUG
rnacentral:rRNA from 1 species